rnacentral:rRNA from 1 species
UGACGGUACCCGCAGAAUAAGCCCCGGCUAACUUCGUGCCAGCAGCCGCGGUAAUACGAAGGGGGCUAGCGUUGUUCGGAAUCACUGGGCGUAAAGCGUACGCAGGCGGAUUGAUAAGUCAGGGGUGAAAUCCCGGGGCUCAACCUCGGAAUUGCCUUUGAUACUGUCUGUCUCGAGUUCGGGAGAGGUUGGCGGAAUUCCUAGUGUAGAGGUGAAAUUCGUAGAUAUUAGGAAGAACACCAGUGGCGAAGGCGGCCAACUGGCCCGAUACUGACGCUCAUGUACGAAAGCGUGGGGAGCAAACAGGAUUAGAUACCCUGGUAGUCCACGCUGUAAACUAUGGAUGCUAGCGUUGGGGAGCUUGCUCUUCAGUGGCGCAGCUAACGUCUUAAGCAUCCCGCCUGGGGAGUACGGUCGCAGAUUAAAACUCAAAGGAAUU